GAAAGCAAGGAUAAGGAAGAUAACAAAGUAAGUAACGAGCCUACUGCUGAAGGUGGCGCUUUAAAAUCAUUUCAACAGCUUUCGAGUAGUCAAAAUGCCUUCACAGGUCUUGCUGGAACCGGAUUUUCUUCUUCUCUGUUUUCUUUCGGACCUAUAUCAAGUGACGGGUCUGCUUUGGGUAGUGGGUCCGGUUCUAUAUUUGGAAUGAAAACUGACAGGCCUUUGGGUCUGGGUUUAUCUAACACUGGAAGUUCUGUUACUAAGAGCGAUGGAAGUGGCGUCUCAACACUGCAGGAAGUUGUCGUUGAAACUGGCGAAGAAAAUGAGGAAGUAGUUUUCAAUGCAGAUUCAGUGUUGUUUGAAUUUGCAGACGGUGGUUGGAAGGAACGUGGAAAGGGAGAGGUGAAAGUCAAUGUAACUAGUGGAACAGAAAAGAAAGCAAGAGUUCUUAUGAGGUCUAGAGGAAAUUACAGACUGAUUUUAAACGCCCGGCUUUACCCUGAAAUGAAACUCACAAAUAUGGAGAAGAAAGGGGUUACCUUUGCGCCAGCAGACUAAUCCUGCUCCUUCUUCACACCCUUUUGCUGCAAUCCGGUUGGCUGCCCCUGCUGAAUCCAACGCCAAGCCUGGUGAAGCUGCUACCGUAACACAACCAGAGAAAGCUAAAGAUGAAGAAACUAAGCAGCCAGAGGGCGAAACUCGUGAGGUGGAGGACAAAUCUACUUCAAAUAACGAUGCUGCAGAAAAAAGCAAUGAAAAGAAGGAGCUUGCCGAGAAGGAGAGUGAUGGUGACAACAAGUCGAAGGUAGAUAAUGAACAGAGUAAGGACGGAAAUAAGAUUGAAAAUGAGGAUAAGAAGAAUGCUGCUGAUAAGGAGAGUGUGAGUGUGAAUGAUAUAGAACAAUCUACGGAAGAAAAAAAUACCGAGAACAAUGAUAAGAACGAAAAUAGUGAAAGCAAGGAUAAGGAAGAUAACAAAGUAAGUAACGAGCCUACUGCUGAAGGUGGCGCUUUAAAAUCAUUUCAACAGCUUUCGAGUAGUCAAAAUGCCUUCACAGGUCUUGCUGGAACCGGAUUUUCUUCUUCUCUGUUUUCUUUCGGACCUAUAUCAAGUGACGGGUCUGCUUUGGGUAGUGGGUCCGGUUCUAUAUUUGGAAUGAAAACUGACAGGCCUUUGGGUCUGGGUUUAUCUAACACUGGAAGUUCUGUUACUAAGAGCGAUGGAAGUGGCGUCUCAACACUGCAGGAAGUUG
rnacentral:lncRNA from 1 species